GUCCACGCCGUAAACGAUGAGUGCUAGGUGUCACGGGCUUUGACCCUCGUGGUGCCGAAGCUAACGCGUUAAGCACUCCGCCUGGGGAGUACGGUCGCAAGACUAAAACUCAAAGGAAUUGACGGGGGCCCGCACAAGCGGUGGAGCAUGUUGUUUAAUUCGACGCAACGCGAAGAACCUUACCUGGGCUAGAAAGUACAGGAAGUCGGUCGAAAGGUCGAUGUGCCCUUCGGGGAACCGUGUGGUUAGGUGCUGCAUGGCUGUCGU
rnacentral:rRNA from 1 species